AUUGAACGCUGGCGGCAGGCCUAACACAUGCAAGUCGAACGGUAACAGGAAGAAGCUUGCUUCUUUGCUGACGAGUGGCGGACGGGUGAGUAAUGUCUGUGAAACUGCCUGAUGGAGGGGGAUAACUACUGGAAACGGUAGCUAAUACCGCAUAACGUCGCAAGACCAAAGAGGGGGACCUUCGGGCCUCUUGCCAUCGGAUGUGCCCAGAUGGGAUUAGCUAGUAGGUGGGGUAACGGCUCACCUAGGCGACGAUCCCUAGCUGGUCUGAGAGGAUGACCAGCCACACUGGAACUGAGACACGGUCCAGACUCCUACGGGAGGCAGCAGUGGGGAAUAUUGCACAAUGGGCGCAAGCCUGAUGCAGCCAUGCCGCGUGUAUGAAGAAGGCCUUCGGGUUGUAAAGUACUUUCAGCGGGGAGGAAGGGAGUAAAGUUAAUACCCUUGCUCAUUGACGUUACCCGCAGAAGAAGCACCGGCUAACUCCGUG
rnacentral:rRNA from 1 species